ncrna:unclassified sequences abiF RNA
CCCCCAAAAGCCUCUCAACGAUGCUCAAAUCUGGGGGG